rnacentral:rRNA from 1 species
UACAGAGGGUGCGAGCGUUGUUCGGAAUUACUGGGCGUAAAGCGCGCGCAGGCGGCCCUUUAAGUCUACCCGUGAAAUGCCGGAGCUCAACUCCGUGCACGCCGGGGGAUACUGGAGGGCUGGAGACGAGUAGAGGCAAGCGGAAUUCCGGGUGUAGCGGUGGAAUGCGUAGAGAUCCGGAAGAACACCGGAGGCGAAGGCGGCUUGCUGGGCUUGGUCUGACGCUGAGGCGCGAAAGCGUGGGGAGCGAACAGG